CCCAAACAAAUACAUACACCCACCCAUUCAUCUUUUUCUCUUCUACUUUUUACCCCUUCAACACACAAACAGUCGCCAUUGUUGCAGACAAACAACAACAAUUGAAAUUCAGAUCUAAAGAAAUGGAUGGUAACAAUUGAAGGGGGCCACCAUUAGAGGAUCGUCCUGAACGUCCAUUCCUCGACGUUGAAGAUGGGGACGGAGCUCGACGGAGGGGGGGCGGGAUGGGCUGUAGCCGGCGCCGAACCAAGACGGGGAUGGGGACGGUCCCCAUACCCCAUAGCCUAACAAACCUAACAAAAAUGGUGAUCAGAUACCCAAUUUUUUAUCUGUUCAAUUUAUAUGCAAUUUUUAUUAUCACUUAACUGAUAUACAAGUCUGUGUUGUAAUAUUGUUCCUUUUAUUACAAUUUCACAUCUCCCCGUGAUAUAUGUGAAACUUUACUUGAUGAAUAUGUGCAACUUGGUACUUGCAUUUUGUCAUUAUUCUAAGUUAUAACACUGGCCAACAGGCCCUUA
rnacentral:lncRNA from 1 species